CAGCUUGCCACCCCAGCAGUGACCACGUUCCCAGCUGUGUAUCGUUCUUGCUUCAGCUGACAAAUGCUUUGAAACCGAUAGGUGUUGUUGCCCUUUGAAGCAAAUGUGCUCAGCAGCCUUGAUCCCUUUGUGGAACCUACAAGACACAUUCUUGCUGCGUAUCAGGACCAGAGCUGGUGAAGACUGCUUCAUCAAGCUGGAAU
rnacentral:lncRNA from 1 species